rnacentral:sRNA from 1 species
GGAAACAAGAGAGGAUUGUGUGAACACACAAUAAAAAAUAAGACAAGAUUGUGUUAAUGGAUAGUGUGAACACACAAUAUGUAGCGGAAAUAAGAGUGUUCACACACAGUAUAUAUAACAGCAGAUGGAUAUUGCCAUUCACAUUUAACGUUCACACCCUCCAUGAUCAAUGCAGUCAGUAUCUUCUUUCCUCUCCCUGAGAAAACCCCAGCGCCGUCUCAAGCUAAAGCGCUACAACCUUGUCUCGUCUCAGCUUGUCUGCUGCUUCCAAGCCCAGGUCCAUCUCCAAUCCUCCGCCAAAAUAUCGAACCCAAAGUAGGGGAACACGAUCAACAGCCCCGGUGACAAGAGAGACAACCAGAGAAGGCGGUUGAGAUGUUAUACAGCCCAGCCAGCAACGGAGCAAGACUGAAAAGGUAUAAAAUUGCUUCCCUUUGCCAAUUGUGAUACGCGAUCUGUAAAUAUAGUCCCUGGAAGAAGAUGGAUGCUCAAUUGAGAGCCCUCCCCACCUCAUUUCCGUCAUGCUGUGGCCUAAACCUGAUGUGGUACCAUCCUGAAGAGUGUCAUCAACGGUGCACCUCCGACUCUGAAGUAAUUUUGAAACAACCAAACUGAAAGCGAACACGACAGGCAAAGGGGACAGUUUGAUAGGACUAGUAGCAUGGCGACGGCUGAAAUGAUACUGCACUGCUGAGCAAAUGCAUUGAACAAUGGCCAGACCUAAUCCAAAAAUUUCAGGGAAUGUACCAAAAAGCAUGUUAUUUGGAGUUGGAUAGUGAAAACACCAUAGCAUUCCCCGACUCCUCAAUACAACUCUUUCCUUUAUAGCAUUUUGAAGGAGCUCGCAGAUGCAAACAAGUACAGCCACAAUUGCCAACAGCAUACCAAUUAAUGCGUAGUGAGGAUUAAGUGGGGAGGAAACCUGAUCAAAAACCGAUGCCAGAAUCUCGAUGCCGCAGCUAAAAACAGAGAACCUUCCGAUCCCAAGGAUAAAAACCAGCUGACUGAAGCUCAAGACCAAUACCCGUAUCACAUGGCGUUGCUCGUCAACGAGGCCCUGCAAUCAAGAGUUGGAAUCGCCCAAAUUACUUCAAAGUUCAUUUGAAAUUAUGAAUGAUAAACGAAUACGGGAAGAUAAUAUUUGUUUUAAGAGCUAAGAGUCUAAGACAAUGAAGGUUUGAUCAAAGGGUAGAUUAAAGGGAAUUUUAACGAAAAUCUUCCGGUGCUGUUCACUUUGAUGAAAAAUCAAAUUUUUACACUAAAAGAUUAAUUUU